rnacentral:misc_RNA from 1 species
AUUAUGCCAGAAAUCUCUCUUAUAAAAUUCCUAGCAUAAAAAAGUUCUCUGUAAUAUAAAGUCUGUACUAAGUUUGAAGAAGUUAUAUUUUUGUGAGUUUUCAGAUUUCUCGAAAGGAAAAUUUCACUUCGUUAAUUAUAGCAAUGUGGUUCACAGGCCGGAGGCGCACUUUGUGCAUCCGGACUGUGUUGCAGUAAAUUUGGUUGGUGUGGUAACACUAAUGAGUAUUGUGGUCCUGGUAAUUGUCAGAGCCAGUGUCCUGGCGGUCCCGGUCCUUCAGGGGACCUAGGCGGUGUUAUUUCAAAUUCCAUGUUUGAUCAAAUGCUUAAUCAUCGCAAUGACAAUGCUUGUCAAGGAAAGAAUAAUUUCUACAGUUACAAUGCAUUUGUUACUGCUGCUGGGUCUUUUCCUGGAUUUGGUACUACUGGGGAUAUCACUGCCCGUAAAAGGGAAAUUGCUGCUUUCCUUGCCCAAACUUCCCAUGAAACUACUGGAGGAUGGCCUACGGCACCAGAUGGACCAUACGCAUGGGGUUACUGUUUCCUUAGAGAGCAAGGUAGCCCUGGCGAUUACUGUACACCAAGUAGUCAAUGGCCUUGUGCUCCUGGAAGGAAAUAUUUCGGACGAGGUCCAAUUCAAAUUUCACACAACUACAACUAUGGGCCAUGUGGAAGAGCCAUUGGAGUGGACCUUUUGAACAAUCCCGAUCUAGUAGCAACAGACCCAGUCAUCUCAUUCAAAUCAGCUAUCUGGUUCUGGAUGACUCCUCAAUCCCCAAAGCCUUCUUGUCACGAUGUCAUCACCGGAAGAUGGCAGCCAUCUGGCGCUGACCAAGCAGCUAAUCGCGUCCCUGGAUUCGGUGUCAUCACAAACAUCAUCAAUGGUGGCCUGGAAUGUGGUCACGGCAGUGACAGCAGGGUCCAGGAUCGGAUUGGAUUUUACAGGAGGUAUUGCGGAAUUCUUGGAGUUAGCCCAGGUGAAAAUCUUGAUUGUGGCAAUCAGAGGUCUUUUGGAAACGGACUAUUAGUUGAUAUUAUGUAACGAUCGACUUCAUCAUAUAAGGCCCCAACUAUAAAUAAAUUUAAUAUGUAUGAAAUUGUAUGAAUUAUGAUUGUAAUAUGAUGGGACCUUGUCUUAUAA